rnacentral:rRNA from 1 species
UAAGGAAUAUUGCUCAAUGGGAGAAAUCCUGAAGCAGCAACGCCGCGUGGAGGAUGAAGGGUCUAUGACUUGUAAACUCCUGUAAAGAAGGAAAAAAUUCCCAUUUGAUGGGAGAUGAUGGUACUUCUGGAGUAAGCCCCGGCUAACUACGUGCCAGCAGCCGCGGUAAUCGGUAGGGGGCAGGCGUUGUCCGGAUUUACUGGGUGAAAAGGGUGCUCAGGCGGAUUUGUAAGUCAGAGGUGAAAUCUUACAGCUUAACUGUGAAACUGCCUUUGAUACUGCAAGCCUAGAGUAUGGAAGAGAGUGAUGGAAUAUCUGGUGUAGCAGUGAAAUGCGUAGAUAUCAGAUAGAACACCAAUGGCGAAGGCAGUCACUUGGUCCAUUACUGACGCUAAAGCACGAAAGCGUGGGUAGCAAACA